rnacentral:rRNA from 1 species
UACAGAGGGUGCAAACGUUGCUCGGAAUUAUUGGGCGUAAAGCGCACGUAGGCGGUUCGUUAAGUCGGAUGUGAAAUCCCCAGGCUCAACCUGGGAACUGCAUCCGAUACUGGAUGGCUUGAAUCCGGGAGAGGGAUGCGGAAUUCCAGGUGUAGCGGUGAAAUGCGUAGAUAUCUGGAGGAACACCGGUGGCGAAGGCGGCAUCCUGGACCGGCAUUGACGCUGAGGCGCGAAAGCCAGGGGAGCAAACGGG